rnacentral:rRNA from 1 species
GAGGAAUCUUGCGCAAUGGGGGCAACCCUGACGCAGCAACGCCGCGUGAGUGAUGAAGGCCUUCGGGUCGUAAAGCUCUGUCAGGUGGGAAGAAACUCCCCAUGGUAAAUAAUCAUGGGGAUUGACGGUACCGCCAGAGGAAGCACCGGCUAACUCCGUGCCAGCAGCCGCGGUAAUACGGAGGGUGCAAGCGUUGUUCGGAAUUAUUGGGCGUAAAGAGCGUGUAGGCGGUUAGGUAAGUCAGAUGUGAAAGCCCUUGGCUUAACCAAGGAAGUGCAUUUGAAACUACUUAGCUUGAGUACGGGAGGGGGAAGCGGAAUUCCCGGUGUAGAGGUGAAAUUCGUAGAUAUCGGGAGGAACACCGGUGGCGAAGGCGGCUUCCUGGACCGAUACUGACGCUGAGACGCGAAAGCGUGGGGAGCAAAC